CCUCCUUUCUUCCUCCUUGGGGGAUCUUGCACAAUGGGGGAAACCCUGAUGCAGCGACGCCGCGUGGGUGAAGAAGCGCCUCGGCGCGUAAAGCCCUGUCAGCAGGGAAGAAAAUGACGGUACCUGAAGAAGAAGCCCCGGCUAACUACGUGCCAGCAGCCGCGGUAAUACGUAGGGGGCAAGCGUUAUCCGGAUUUACUGGGUGUAAAGGGGGCGCAGACGGCGAUGCAAGCCAGGAGUGAAAGCCCGGGGCCCAACCCCGGGACUGCUCUUGGAACUGCGUGGCUAGAGUGCAGGAGGGGCAGGCGGAAUUACUGGUGUAGCGGUGAAAUGCGUAGAUAUCAGGAGGAACACCGGUGGCGAAGGCGGCCUGCUGGACUGCAACUGACGUUGAGGCCCGAAAGCGUGGGGAGCAAACAGGAUUAGAUACCCCAGUAGUC
rnacentral:rRNA from 1 species